ACGGUAACAGGAAGCAGCUUGCUGCUUCGCUGACGAGUGGCGGACGGGUGAGUAAUGUCUGGGAAACUGCCUGAUGGAGGGGGAUAACUACUGGAAACGGUAGCUAAUACCGCAUAACGUCGCAAGACCAAAGAGGGGGACCUUCGGGCCUCUUGCCAUCAGAUGUGCCCAGAUGGGAUUAGCUAGUAGGUGGGGUAACGGCUCACCUAGGCGACGAUCCCUAGCUGGUCUGAGAGGAUGACCAGCCACACUGGAACUGAGACACGGUCCAGACUCCUACGGGAGGCAGCAGUGGGGAAUAUUGCACAAUGGGCGCAAGCCUGAUGCAGCCAUGCCGCGUGUAUGAAGAAGGCCUUCGGGUUGUAAAGUACUUUCAGCGGGGAGGAAGGCGAUGCGGUUAAUAACCGCGUCGAUUGACGUUACCCGCAGAAGAAGCACCGGCUAACUCCGUGCCAGCAGCCGCGGUAAUACGGAGGGUGCAAGCGUUAAUCGGAAUUACUGGGCGUAAAGCGCACGCAGGCGGUCUGUCAAGUCGGAUGUGAAAUCCCCGGGCUCAACCUGGGAACUGCAUCCGAAACUGGCAGGCUUGAGUCUCGUAGAGGGGGGUAGAAUUCCAGGUGUAGCGGUGAAAUGCGUAGAGAUCUGGAGGAAUACCGGUGGCGAAGGCGGCCCCCUGGACGAAGACUGACGCUCAGGUGCGAAAGCGUGGGGAGCAAACAGGAUUAGAUACCCUGGUAGUCCACGCCGUAAACGAUGUCGACUUGGAGGUUGUGCCCUUGAGGCGUGGCUUCCGGAGCUAACGCGUUAAGUCGACCGCCUGGGGAGUACGGCCGCAAGGUUAAAACUCAAAUGAAUUGACGGGGGCCCGCACAAGCGGUGGAGCAUGUGGUUUAAUUCGAUGCAACGCGAAGAACCUUACCUGGUCUUGACAUCCACAGAACUUUCCAGAAAUGGAUUGGUGCCUUCGGGAACUGUGAAACAGGUGCUGCAUGGCUGUCGUCAGCUCGUGUUGUGAAAUGUUGGGUUAAGUCCCGCAACGAGCGCAACCCUUAUCCUUUGUUGCCAGCGGUUAGGCCGGGAACUCAAAGGAAACUGCCAGUGAUAAACUGG
rnacentral:rRNA from 1 species